CUCUGAGAUAACUAUAUAAGAAAUAUCGGAAAAUUUUAUAUACACUACUAUAUAAAUAUAUAAAGUCAACAUGAAACAUUUCCUCUUUUUCUUCGUGCUUUUGUUGGCAGUAAUUUCAAGUUUUCAGUUGGGAGUGAGGGCUGAAGACGAUGAUGAUGCUUAUAGACGCCAACAUUAUCGACGAGGCACUAAACUUAGAUAUAGUAGUAAAUUAACUUGAUGAAACAAAUACAGAAUGUAAACUUAUUGUGAAAUAAGAAUAAAAUGUGAAAUAUUCUUGA